rnacentral:misc_RNA from 1 species
UUUGGAUUGUAUUGCUGUUUUUGAGAUGAUGAUUGCCCAUAAAACCCUUCCAAGCCUGCUUCUAAUAAGUGGUUGCCAUCUAUGGAUUUCAAGUAAGAAGCCAUCUCUGUAAUCCAAGCCUGAAUGGUUCCUCCUGAUGGAUCUGAGGUGCAUCUGGGUUCAUUCAUAAGUUCCCAAGCCAUUAUAGUUGGUUCAUCUUUGUAAGCAACUCCAGUGAUUGUAUUACGCCUUGUAAGAACAGUCUUGAUAUGAUUUUUGUAGUAGCCUUUGACUACAGAGUUUGCAAAGAAAUCAUCAUCAGAUGAUAUAGACUG